ensembl:lncRNA
GGCUCUGCUAAACUCCUCGCUGCAUUUAAAAGGUAUUUCAAAGCCUGUGGCUCAGAGAUGAACCGAGGAGAGAGAGUGAAGCAACUGUUGUGCGACAUGUCUGCAGUACAGUGUUGAGCACUGAGCAAGGGCCUCAGAGACCAGGAGGAGAGAGAGAGUUGACCUCUGCUCAUUCCCUGUGGGAGCAAGAGGAGGAGAAGGAAGGGGAAGAGUGGGAGGAGGAGGAAGAGAGAGCAAGCUGAAGCACUGAGGAACCAGGUGGACCUGGGCUCUGAGGUCCUUGGGGAUGUGAGGACACAGAUGACCAGAAGGCCUCUCAGAGAUAGGACUGUGACGGAACCACCCAGGACCCACCCCAGGAGGCGGGAGGGGAUGGAAAAACUGGAAUGCACAUGCAGGUACGAGAUGAAUUAUAGGUCAGGUACGGCCCCUAACCCCCUCAGGGAUACCUGAGGGAGUCCUGACCCUGCAAAAAGGCAAAGGCCCAGGUAAGGUAUUAAAUGAAUGACUCAUGCAAUACCAGAAGCUUCUAAGCUUUAGAUUAUCUUUCACGGUUCAGGAACAUCUUAAUAAGGAAAACUGAGCUUUAAGAAAUUCCGUGAAAUCUUGGCUCUCUGUUCUCUCUGUCUCUAAGCUCAGUGUUCAACAGAUCUUUGUGCUUCUAAAAGGAGGCAGGUUGAUGCAAUGGAAAAAGAUCUGAUGUGGUAAAAAUCAGAGUCCUAGCACUUCUUCAGCCACUAACUAUGUUACCUUAGAUGGCCAGCUUGGCCAGGCUGUCUUAGGUUUUUGGUGAGGAUUGAAAGGUAUGGAAAGGUCUUUGCCUAGUGCCUGGUCCACAGAACAUGCCUGACAAGAACAUAUGGCUGGAGCUUUAUCACUGCAGUGUAGACCCCCGCCAACACGUCAAUGAGAUCCGCUCGGAUGCUUAGACUUGCCCUUCUUCAUGUCCUUGAUUCUUAGAGCUCUCCAAUAGAUCUCCUGUGAGUUGCUUUCUGAGUAGAGUUAACCACGUGGAAUUUCCCUUGCUUGCAACCCUGCCCAAGACAGUCAGUGGUUGUAUUUCUUUCCUGCGGCUGCUGUCACAAAUUACCACUAAUUUAGUGUCUUAAAACAACAGCAAUUUACUCCUUCUUGGUUCUGGAGGCCAGAAGUCCAAAAUCAGUUUCACUGGGGGCAAAUCAAGGUGUGGCCAGGGCCACGCUCCCUCCUGAAGCUCGAGAGGAGAAUCUGUGCCUUCACUCCUUCAGCUUCUGGUGGCUGCCAGUGUCACUUGGCUUGUGACCACGUAGCUCCAAUCUCUGUCUCUGUGGUCACAUGGCCUUCUUCUCAGCUAGAUUAGUGCUGAGCUAACAUCUGCUGCCAAUCAUCUUCUUUCUGCUGAGGAAGACUGGCCCUGAGCUAACAUCUGUGCCCAUCUCCCUCUACUUUAUAUAUGGGAUGCCUACCACAGCAUGGCUUGCCAAGUGGUGCCAUGCCCACACCUGGGAUCCGAACUGGCGAAGCCUGGGCCACCAAAGCAGAACAUGCAAACUUAAUUGCUGCACCACCAGGCUGGCCCCCACCUUUGGUGUUUUUUUGAUGGUGAACCUUAAAGUGCUCAUUGUAUCAAUUUAUCGGGACCUGCCUAUACCAAUGACUACUAUUUGUAGACAGGAAACAAACAACAACCAGAGAUUGCCAGGAUCCUGGAGUUAUUGGCAUCCACUUGCCUUUCCCUCGCCUUUUGCUGUUUUGGGGUUCCUGCCUCAUGAGAGCUAUAGCUGGAGGUCCAAGAAAGCAACUUGCACGCUUUGGGUGGGAAAAGCUUUUGGCCUUCACAAGGGGAAACGCCCCAGCGAACGUGUGGUUUUCCUCCAUAGCUAAGUUGAGCACAACAUGUUAAGAAAUAUUGCCCAAAACCUUUCCUAUCAGAAGCAUUUAAGUUAUUCUUAAACAGUUUUGACAACAGCAUAUUUUACCUCGAAGCCAUAACCAUGCAUUAUUUAGAUAACAGAUUUCUGCUGAAUUCCAUCCCCUUUCUUGUCCUAAAUGUUGUAAUGUAUUGGGUAUUUAAGAACACACGCAAGAACGUUAGCCACAGGACUAUGUGUCCAACCUACUCUGUAAAAUGCUCCUAUUAUCAAAAUGUAUGCUUCUGAGUUACAAAAUAGUUUUUCCCUUUUAGAUGGUAUGCAGAUUGCCAGGGAAUAAUGCCUUUUAUUGUUAACCUUUGUUAAGUAAUAGUAGCAUUUGUUUCCGUUAAAACAUGACUAUUUCUGUGUAACAUUUAUUGCAUAAAAAUAGAACAACGUUGACAAUUUGCAGCCCCUCUUCUUGCCAGCUCUUCCCCUAGAUGUCUGGAAGACAAACGUACUUUUUCAGUGGAAUCUAGAAUUUGUUUUUCAAAGAAUAAAACAAAAAAAAAUAAGAGUUGUUUAUUGUUUUGUUUGAAUUCGAUUAAUCCUCCAAAGCUAUGGGCCCAACAGCAAAUUUGAGGGGAAAG